rnacentral:rRNA from 1 species
CCGCGGUAAUACGUAGGUGGCAAGCGUUAUCCGGAAUUAUUGGGCGUAAAGCGCGCGUAGGCGGUUUUUUAAGUCUGAUGUGAAAGCCCACGGCUCAAUCGUGGAGGGUCAUUGGAAACUGGAAAACUUGAGUGCAGAAGAGGAAAGUGGAAUUCCAUGUGUAGCGGUGAAAUGCGCAGAGAUAUGGAGGAACACCAGUGGCGAAGGCGACUUUCUGGUCUGUAACUGACGCUGAUGUGCGAAAGCGUGGGGAUCAAACAGGAUUAGAUACCUGGUAGUCAAGGC